rfam:Pseudoalteromonas atlantica T6c, complete genome.
UGGGAUAUCGCCAAGUGGUAAGGCAACGGGUUUUGAUCCCGUCAUUCGUUGGUUCGAAUCCAGCUAUCCCAG